UACAAGAUUCAUCCAACAGCCGACCCACUCGCGCACGUCCCACACCCCUAUCUCCCCCAACCCCCAACCCCCUCUCGAUCCCAUCUCUCUCGCAAAUUUUUUUUGGCAACGCCGGCCUCCUCUUUCAUCUCCCAUGACGACCAUAGGAAAGGGUAGGUAGAUCCAUCUCGCCCACUUCUUCCUGCCGUCGCCAUCAUCCUCCAGUCGUCCAUGCUAGCUUCCGCAGCCCGUCGUACUCAUCGCAGGUGGCGGCGGCCAUUGGCAAGGGCUCGUUUGGAAGAGCAGGUGGCGUACAAGGUCGCGUUGAGGUCCAACGACCGGAAUAUUGGCUCCGUAGAGAACGCCGUCACAGGUGCGUCGAUCUCAAUCUUCUCCUCCAUUGCCGUUGUCUUCAUUACCUGUGCGUGUAGCAGGUGUGCUCUCACACUCACGAAUUUUCAGUACGUGAUGGGUUCUUUCUAAUUCAGAUCUUGCUUGCCUUAUCGUGAUAUCUUCUUUGCCAUGGUAAGCACACUAGAAGCCUCAUAACUUUUGUUAUGACAUUAUUAAUGUUGUUUAGAAAGCAGUUUUAGUGAAGAUCGAAUGGUUUUUAGAUUAAGUAGAAAAUAAAGGAGUACUCUUCUGUAGUGUAUUGUUGUUCAACUGAGACAUAUGCAGUGUGUUUGAUGGCCGCAGGAUAAUUAAAGCCAAGGUAACGACUAUACAUUCACAAUUCCUAUAGUUAUAAACAAGAAAAAAAAGAUAUAGGCAAGUACUAUUGUUUUAGAUGCCGGUAAAAUGGACUAGAAUUUCAUGAGCUGUUUAGUCAGCAUGCUACCGCUCAUCAGUGGCGGAGGACCAAAUUUUUUCGAGGUAGGGCAGCCGAUACUACAGCACGUGAGACUUCCUCGCUGCUGGCCUCUAGCGCCACGGCUUGCGCCUCGACCGUCCAGUUUGGCAUCCGGUACCAGCACUCCCGCUGCCUGCUGCUAGCCGCUAGCCCGCCGGGAUUCGUGCGUGGUAUGCGCCUGAGCUCGUGGUUUGUGUUCUGUUGUUCCUGUUCGUACCUUCGUGAUGACUGGUCCGGUACGUCGUGUGUGUGUGUGUGUCGUAUGUGCAGCUAUCAGGCAAGGGCAUGACCCAAGUCACAGCCCAACAUCAAAGAGAACUCUUCCUUUCAGUUACUUAUUGCACCUGUCAUCUGUCGAUCGAGCGUGUUUGCCGGAAAUAAAGGUUCCGCCGGUGCUACCACUAAUAUCCUUGUACUGUAGUAGCUUCAGUAUUUCUCCCACUUUUUCUGCUACAUGUGUAAAUGUAGUUACAAUUGAGAAAGCGAGAAAUAUUUGUUUUGUGAAAAAAAUUGACAUAUCUUUGUUAUCUGGAUAUCAAAUUUAUUGCAAAUUUUGCUGAAUGCAUCUUCAUUUGAGAAAAUGUGGACGGCCACAGGAGAAACAUAAACUUUGUCAUAUAAAGUUGGAAGUGUUUAACUGCUCAAACUUUCUACUUUGCAAACAAAUAAAGUGAUGCAAGGUAUUCAGAUGUCUACGGUUGAUGAGAAUUUACAUUGAGUUCAGCAUUAAAGUAUUUAAUUGUUGCUUUUGUGAUUGCUACUGUUUCAUGGUUUCAGAAACAUGUCUAUUGUGGACUGUUUCAUAGCUUAUCUUUUCCAAUCUUUUAUCUACAUAUAUCUACCUCAUGUUAAUGCACUAUCAAAAUUGUCUCAUUAAUUCUUGUCACUUUCUCAAAUAAAAAUUAUCCUUUGCCUGGCAUGCCCCUAAUUAUAUAAACCCUGUCAAAAUUCUAAAUCUUAUUUCAUAUGCAGAACUCGAAGAAUUUCAAGAAAGAUCAUUGCUUCAAGGUUGGCAGCGGCCACAACAUAAUUGACAUCAAAACUAGAUUUGGGUCCUACAUAUCCGGUCUUGCUCGGUUAUAUUACUUUUUUCCAUUCCGUUAUAUACCUAUGUAUAUGAUUGGUUUGCUACAUGAGGUAGCAACGAAAUCACCUGAUACAAGGUCAAACUAAGUUUCUAUUCCUACAAUACUAGCUACUAGCCAACAAUAUGUGUUUAUGACUCUCAUCACAGAGUGAUUAAUCAUAGUAAACUAUGUGCCAGCUUAUGUGAGUCCAAUCGAUCUAUCUUUUACUGGCAUUACCCAUUGUGUAGAUUGGGAUUAUCUGCACCAACCUUCAUAGACUCCCAAAACUAUCCUAGGAUUAUCAGUUUCUCAAACAAUUGAAGUUGCAGCCUAUGUGAAAUCUUUAUUGCCUGAUAUGGUAGCACUAACUAUUUUUCUUUAUUUUAUGAAUCACAGUCUAAGGGCUCAAAAGCAGUUGACCAUUACCUGUCACAGUAUACAAAACACCUAUCUAAUAUUGGGGGAAAUGUAUGUAUUUUCUCAAGCAGCUAUGUGGAUAUAGGUCUUGCUGAAAAUUUGUAACUGAGCUUGUAAUCUUAACAAUUGUUGUGGAACAGUCAGCUGAUAUGUUCAUAUGUGAAUCAUCCACCCAAUUAGCUACAAUGCUUUCCAAGGCCAGUACCAUACCAACAUUGGAGCCAAAAGAGCAUGUGGUAACAUCAAAUGCCAAAUUGGAGACAUACAUAGGGUAUGAAAAUUUACGCAGAAGAGAAGGGCCCAUCACUCCAGAGUCUAGGAAAGUUGGGUAAAUGUAAUCUUUUUAUGGAAAAAUGCAAAACCAGUCAGCCAUCAUCCCUAACAGAGGGGCUAGCGCUCUUUAUCUCUAAUGUAUAAUCCUUUUAUUUGGCGUUAUUGCCAUGCCGCUAUAGCUAGUCUUUUGCUGUUCUCCUUUUCUUGUAACCAGUUGUACUUGGUUUUCUCUAUCCUCAUAUCAAUGAAAAUGCAGCGUUGAUUAUGUUUCAUCAAGAAAAUGUACUCCCUCCGUUCUGAGCGCUUCAAGUAGAUCUUAGUUAAUACUCCCUCCGAUCUAUAAUAAGGUUUGAACUAAAAGCACGACACUUAUUAUGGAUCAUAGGGAGUACAAGAUAAUCAGAUAGAUACCUGUCCUAUGCGUAUGCCAUGUCCAACUAUAUUAUUCUAUGAGUACAUUUGAAGCGAAAUCAAAUUUAUUGUUUUUGGAAUAUUACAUGUCUAUAUUUCCUAUAUUUGCGUGAUCUUUGACAUGCCUUAUGUCUGCACUAUAUGAGAUGAUGAAAAGCAUAAGGAGUUGUGGCAACGCACGGGCAGUCAACUAGUCUACUAUUAAAUCUACUAUUAAAGCAGAAUCGAACGUCGUGAUGGUUCGACCUCCUUUCAUCCUUUCCACGAGAGAUCCCGCGCCGAAAAAAUCGCUAGGAAAAGAUCGGGCUCGCUUCCGCCCCUCUCUCGCUUCAUGCGUUGAAAACUGAAAAAUAAAAACGAAAAACUGAAACACCCGCGUCCCACGACCACGUCUUCUCCCAACCUCCUCGAUCUCGAACCCCUCCAUCUCUUGAGUCGUGACGCACCCACGAUCCACCCAAGCAUCUCCUAAUCCACUCCCACAAUCCCCCAAAGACAUAGUCUCCCUCCCCCACCUUCCUCACUAAAGGGGGCAUCUAGCUAUGAGCACGAGGAGGGCAAGCGAAGGUGAGAGGUGCUCGUGGCAGAGUAUGGGGAGGUGCGGCGCGGAUUGCUGCUCGCAAUCCUGCCACAGGGGAGAUUCCCGGUAGCCACCACGCAGCUCUCGCUCCUCGUCGCGACUGCGUUGGUUGUGAUGUGCCCGGCCCAUGCGUCCAUACCGUGUGGCUUUCUCCUCCAUUGUCGUUCGCGGGCAGUGGAUCGUUCGCGCUUUGCCAUCGACUCGUCCUCCCUGCUCUCGCUCAGCCGCAUCGUAUUCGGGAUCACCGGAUUGACACACCUCUGGCCCUGCUCUGAGUGCAUCCGCCUAUGGUGGGAUCCCGCCUUUGUGGGUGGCCAUGUCUGCUUUACGCUGACACGCUGUCGUUUGGCUCGCAGUGCCUUCUCUCUGUACAGAGGUGAGGAGCUGCCCAUCUCUGUACUAUGAGAUGUCGCCCUGCUAUCCCCCUGUUCCGCCAAUGACAAUGUCUCCCCUGGCCGCCUGUCCCGCCCUUCCUUCAAAUCGAGCCACUGCAGUCUGAAAGCGGGCUCAGUUUGCAUAGUCCUCGCCAAUGACCAUAUCAGAGCCUGGAUAUAAGUAAACUUCUGCUUGUAGGAAUCCUGUUAGAUACAAACAACCUUUCAAAGAUGUGAUCAGAAAAAGAUUCAGAGGUAGUGCGAUUGCUCUUGUUCGGUAGCUCUGAGCAUAAGAGGCACGGAUUAUUUCAACAAUGUAAUGUACUACUCUUCAUCUGACAUUGAUUUACAUGCAGAACAUGUAUGGAUAAGUUGCAAAAUCUUUUAAUAAUAACAGUUGGCAACUUUGACAUUUCUUUCGACCAGUGAUGCUUACUCACAAUGAUCAUUCUUUCUUCGAGUUCUUGGAGAACACCUAUAGAAAGUCAUCCACGGAUGAUUUUAUAGGUGUAGAAAGAGUUUGUGCGAGAGACCGAGAGUGCAAGAGCGCCGGUGGUACAAGUUGGACGCAUGGAAGAUUUCAGCUCGUAAUAUUUGCUUCGAAUUGUACACAAAGGUUCUUUAUUUUGUUAACCCGAAUAGAUAUUCCAGGGAAUGUCAUUCCAUUUUUUAUAUGAUCAUACGCCAUUCUUCUACUGCUGCAGUGCAUCUCUUAUAAGCGACACUGAUUAAACUGUUAUGAGCAUCCUUUACUUUGCUGUAGUUUUCCUUGUGAAAUGCUUUCCCUAUAAAGAAUUUGAAUGACCAGUGGAGUACUUU